UUCAUGUUAAUCUUAACUUAUCUCAUCGAUAAAACGAUAUGUGUGUACAGUUGUCAUAUGCCAAACUCAAAUGCACAACGCAUAGUAUAAAAGCUGCCAUUUGUUCGUUUGCCAUAUCAGUAAAGAAAUAUUAAAUUUUGCAUUGUACAAGAAAUAUUGCGUAAUUAGCAAAAUGUCGUACGGAUACCCCAUAGUGGUUUCAAUGCUCUUUAUCGUUUCAUCGGCCGCUAUAGCUCACGGAUCAUUAUCAAUUACGCAGCGAAGAUGUGGACACGGUAUUAGUUACUAUGACAGAUGCGAUAACUGUGGUCGAUUGACUGACUGAUUUAGAAGUUAGUGCAUGUAGACGAGCUAUGUAGUCCGGUGUCCUGGGGAAUCUAUUCGAUCGCCUCAAUGUCUAUGCAUACAAUUAUUGUAUAUUACCGUUUUAUGUAAUUAUGGUAGUAAUAUCACACUAGCUCAUAUACACAAUGAAAUCUUGUGUAUCUGCAAUCGUGACUGGCUGUUGCACAAAAUAAAUAUAAAUAAUAGCAAAGAAAA